AACGAACGCUGGCGGCGCGCCUAAUACAUGCAAGUCGAGCGAGAAGACGUAGCAAUACGUUUGUAAAGCGGCGAACGGGUGAGGAAUACAUGGGUAACCUACCCUCGAGUGGGGAAUAACUAGCCGAAAGGUUAGCUAAUACCGCGUACGCUCCUUGGACUUCGGUUCAGGGAGGAAAGCGAUACCGUGGGUAUCGCGCUCUUGGAUGGGCUCAUGUCCUAUCAGCUUGUUGGUGAGGUAACGGCUCACCAAGGCUUCGACGGGUAGCUGGUCUGAGAGGACAAUCAGCCACACUGGCACUGCGACACGGGCCAGACUCCUACGGGAGGCAGCAGUAAGGAUAUUGCGCAAUGGGCGAAAGCCUGACGCAGCGACGCCGCGUGGGGGAUGAAGGUCUUCGGAUUGUAAACCCCUUUCGGGAGGGAAGAUGGAACGAGCAAUCGUUCGGACGGUACCUCCAGAAGCAGCC
rnacentral:rRNA from 1 species